GUGGGGAAUAUUGGACAAUGGGCGAAAGCCUGAUCCAGCCAUGCCGCGUGAGUGAUGAAGGCCUUAGGGUUGUAAAGCUCUUUCAGUAGGGAAGAUAAUGACGGUACCUACAGAAGAAGCCCCGGCUAACUUCGUGCCAGCAGCCGCGGUAAUACGAAGGGGGCUAGCGUUGUUCGGAUUUACUGGGCGUAAAGCGCACGUAGGCGGAUCGUUAAGUCGGGGGUGAAAUCCUGGAGCUCAACUCCAGAACUGCCUUCGAUACUGGCGAUCUUGAGUCCGGAAGAGGUGAGUGGAACUCCUAGUGUAGAGGUGGAAUUCGUAGAUAUUAGGAAGAACACCAGUGGCGAAGGCGGCUCACUGGUCCGGUACUGACGCUGAGGUGCGAAAGCGUGGGGAGCAAACAGGAUUAGAUACCCGAGUAGUCC
rnacentral:rRNA from 1 species